AUUGAACGCCGGCGGCAUGCCUUACACAUGCAAGUCGAACGGCAGCACGGGAGCAAUCCUGGUGGCGAGUGGCGAACGGGUGAGUAAAGCAUCGGAACGUGCCCAGUCGUGGGGGAUAACGUAGCGAAAGCUACGCUAAUACCGCAUACGAUCUGUGGAUGAAAGCGGGGGACCGUAAGGCCUCGCGCGAUUGGAGCGGCCGAUGUCAGAUUAGGUAGUUGGUGAGGUAAAGGCUCACCAAGCCGACGAUCUGUAGCUGGUCUGAGAGGACGACCAGCCACACUGGGACUGAGACACGGCCCAGACUCCUACGGGAGGCAGCAGUGGGGAAUUUUGGACAAUGGGCGCAAGCCUGAUCCAGCAAUGCCGCGUGCAGGAUGAAGGCCUUCGGGUUGUAAACUGCUUUUGUACGGAGCGAAACGGCUUCCACUAAUACUGGGGGCUAAUGACGGUACCGUAAGAAUAAGCACCGGCUAACUACGUGCCAGCAGCCGCGGUAAUAC
rnacentral:rRNA from 1 species